AAUCCCAUGGGAUUAUAAUUAUCCCAUGGGAUUUUUAAUAUCCCAUGGGACAAAUUAAAAUCCUAUGGGAUU
rnacentral:sRNA from 1 species